rnacentral:tRNA from 3 species
UCCCCUGUAGCUCAAUUGGCAGAGCAGCCGGCUGUUAACCGGCAGGUUGUUGGUUCGAGUCCAACCGGGGGAGC